rnacentral:tRNA from 1 species
GCUCGCGUAGCUCAACUGGAAGAGCAAGACCCUUCUAAGGUCAAGGUUGGAGGUUCGAUCCCUCUCGCGAGUGCCA